CUUGGUGGUUAUAGCAUGAGUGAAACA
rnacentral:rRNA from 1 species